GUUUCUUCUCUGCCUAUUAGCUAAAAUCAAAUGUAGUAUCUAUUACGCCAAUUAAAACAUCUGAUGUGUUCUCUGUAUACUGGGCAUUGAGGUAAUGAUCAGGAUUAGGAGAUGAAUCCGGAGCUUGCUCUGUCUAUUCCAUGCCACAGCUUAGAAUUGCAUUACUUCCAGGAUUGGUGUAUUUCUU